rnacentral:rRNA from 1 species
UACGGGGGGGGCAAGCGUUGUUCGGAAUUACUGGGCGUAAAGGGCUCGUAGGCGGCCAACUAAGUCAGACGUGAAAUCCCUCGGCUUAACCGGGGAACUGCGUCUGAUACUGGAUGGCUUGAGGUUGGGAGAGGGAUGCGGAAUUCCAGGUGUAGCGGUGAAAUGCGUAGAUAUCUGGAGGAACACCGGUGGCGAAGGCGGCAUUCUGGACCGAGACUGACGCUGAGGCGCGAAAGCGUGGGGAGCGAACAGG